GACGAACGCUGGCGGCGUGCUUAACACAUGCCAGUCGAACGGAAAGGCCCUGCUUUUGUGGGGUGCUCGAGUGGCGAACGGGUGAGUAACACGUGAGUAACCUGCCCUUGACUUUGGGAUAACUUCAGGAAACUGGGGCUAAUACCGGAUAGGAGCUCCUGCUGCAUGGUGGGGGUUGGAAAGUUUCGGCGGUUGGGGAUGGACUCGCGGCUUAUCAGCUUGUUGGUGGGGUAGUGGCUUACCAAGGCUUUGACGGGUAGCCGGCCUGAGAGGGUGACCGGCCACAUUCGGACUGAGAUACGGCCCAGACUCCUACGGGAGGCAGCAGUGGGGAAUAUUGCACAAUGGGCGGAAGCCUGAUGCAGCAACGCCGCGUGCGGGAUGACGGCCUUCGGGUUGUAAACCGCUUUCGCCUGUGACGAAGCGUGAGUGACGGUAAUGGGUAAAGAAGCACCGGCUAACUACGUG
rnacentral:rRNA from 1 species